rnacentral:rRNA from 1 species
UUAAGCGACUAAGCGUACACGGUGGAUGCCCUGGCAGUCAGAGGCGAUGAAGGACGUGCUAAUCUGCGAUAAGCGUCGGUGAGGUGAUAUGAACCGUUAUAACCGGCGAUUUCCGAAUGGGGAAACCCAGUGUGUUUCGACACACUAUCAUUAACUGAAUCCAUAGGUUAAUGAGGCGAACCGGGGGAACUGAAACAUCUAAGUACCCCGAGGAAAAGAAAUCAACCGAGAUUCCCCCAGUAGCGGCGAGCGAACGGGGAGGAGCCCAGAGCCUGAAUCAGUGUGUGUGUUAGUGGAAGCGUCUGGAAAGGCGCGCGAUACAGGGUGACAGCCCCGUACACAAAAAUGCACAUAUUGUGAGCUCGAUGAGUAGGGCGGGACACGUGGUAUCCUGUCUGAAUAUGGGGGGACCAUCCUCCAAGGCUAAAUACUCCUGACUGACCGAUAGUGAACCAGUACCGUGAGGGAAAGGCGAAAAGAACCCCGGCGAGGGGAGUGAAAAAGAACCUGAAACCGUGUACGUACAAGCAGUGGGAGCCUCUUAAUGGGGUGACUGCGUACCUUUUGUAUAAUGGGUCAGCGACUUAUAUUCUGUAGCAAGGUUAACCGAAUAGGGGAGCCGAAGGGAAACCGAGUCUUAACUGGGCGUUAAGUUGCAGGGUAUAGACCCGAAACCCGGUGAUCUAGCCAUGGGCAGGUUGAAGGUUGGGUAACACUAACUGGAGGACUGAACCGACUAAUGUUGAAAAAUUAGCGGAUGACUUGUGGCUGGGGGUGAAAGGCCAAUCAAACCGGGAGAUAGCUGGUUCUCCCCGAAAGCUAUUUAGGUAGCGCCUCGUGAAUUCAUCUCCGGGGGUAGAGCACUGUUUCGGCAAGGGGGUCAUCCCGACUUACCAACCCGAUGCAAACUGCGAAUACCGGAGAAUGUUAUCACGGGAGACACACGGCGGGUGCUAACGUCCGUCGUGAAGAGGGAAACAACCCAGACCGCCAGCUAAGGUCCCAAAGUCAUGGUUAAGUGGGAAACGAUGUGGGAAGGCCCAGACAGCCAGGAUGUUGGCUUAGAAGCAGCCAUCAUUUAAAGAAAGCGUAAUAGCUCACUGGUCGAGUCGGCCUGCGCGGAAGAUGUAACGGGGCUAAACCAUGCACCGAAGCUGCGGCAGCGACACUAUGUGUUGUUGGGUAGGGGAGCGUUCUGUAAGCCUGUGAAGGUGUCCUGUGAGGUUUGCUGGAGGUAUCAGAAGUGCGAAUGCUGACAUAAGUAACGAUAAAGCGGGUGAAAAGCCCGCUCGCCGGAAGACCAAGGGUUCCUGUCCAACGUUAAUCGGGGCAGGGUGAGUCGACCCCUAAGGCGAGGCCGAAAGGCGUAGUCGAUGGGAAACAGGUUAAUAUUCCUGUACUUGGUGUUACUGCGAAGGGGGGACGGAGAAGGCUAUGUUGGCCGGGCGACGGUUGUCCCGGUUUAAGCGUGUAGGCUGGUUUUCCAGGCAAAUCCGGAAAAUCAAGGCUGAGGCGUGAUGACGAGGCACUACGGUGCUGAAGCGACAAAUGCCCUGCUUCCAGGAAAAGCCUCUAAGCAUCAGGUAACAUCAAAUCGUACCCCAAACCGACACAGGUGGUCAGGUAGAGAAUACCAAGGCGCUUGAGAGAACUCGGGUGAAGGAACUAGGCAAAAUGGUGCCGUAACUUCGGGAGAAGGCACGCUGAUAUGUAGGUGAAGCGACUUGCUCGUGGAGCUGAAAUCAGUCGAAGAUACCAGCUGGCUGCAACUGUUUAUUAAAAACACAGCACUGUGCAAACACGAAAGUGGACGUAUACGGUGUGACGCCUGCCCGGUGCCGGAAGGUUAAUUGAUGGGGUUAGCGGUAACGCGAAGCUCUUGAUCGAAGCCCCGGUAAACGGCGGCCGUAACUAUAACGGUCCUAAGGUAGCGAAAUUCCUUGUCGGGUAAGUUCCGACCUGCACGAAUGGCGUAAUGAUGGCCAGGCUGUCUCCACCCGAGACUCAGUGAAAUUGAACUCGCUGUGAAGAUGCAGUGUACCCGCGGCAAGACGGAAAGACCCCGUGAACCUUUACUAUAGCUUGACACUGAACAUUGAGCCUUGAUGUGUAGGAUAGGUGGGAGGCUUUGAAGUGUGGACGCCAGUCUGCAUGGAGCCGACCUUGAAAUACCACCCUUUAAUGUUUGAUGUUCUAACGUGGGCCCCUUACCGGGGUUGCGGACAGUGUCUGGUGGGUAGUUUGACUGGGGCGGUCUCCUCCUAAAGAGUAACGGAGGAGCACGAAGGUUGGCUAAUCCUGGUCGGACAUCAGGAGGUUAGUGCAAUGGCAUAAGCCAGCUUGACUGCGAGCGUGACGGCGCGAGCAGGUGCGAAAGCAGGUCAUAGUGAUCCGGUGGUUCUGAAUGGAAGGGCCAUCGCUCAACGGAUAAAAGGUACUCCGGGGAUAACAGGCUGAUACCGCCCAAGAGUUCAUAUCGACGGCGGUGUUUGGCACCUCGAUGUCGGCUCAUCACAUCCUGGGGCUGAAGUAGGUCCCAAGGGUAUGGCUGUUCGCCAUUUAAAGUGGUACGCGAGCUGGGUUUAGAACGUCGUGAGACAGUUCGGUCCCUAUCUGCCGUGGGCGCUGGAGAACUGAGGGGGGCUGCUCCUAGUACGAGAGGACCGGAGUGGACGCAUCACUGGUGUUCGGGUUGUCAUGCCAAUGGCACUGCCCGGUAGCUAAAUGCGGAAGAGAUAAGUGCUGAAAGCAUCUAAGCACGAAACUUGCCCCGAGAUGAGUUCUCCCUGACUCCUUGAGAGUCCUGAAGGAACGUUGAAGACGACGACGUUGAUAGGCCGGGUGUGUAAGCGCAGCGAUGCGUUGAGCUAACCGGUACUAAUGAACCGUGAGGCUUAACCUU